CAGCUAAGGUCCCAAAAUAUAUGUUAAGUGGAAAAGGAUGUGGGGUUGCACAGACAACUAGGAUGUUAGCUCAGAAGCAGCUAUCAUUCAAAGAGUGCGUAAUAGCUCACUAGUCGAGUGACCCUGCGCCGAAAAUGUACCGGGGCUAAACAUAUUACCGAAGCUUUGGAUUGAUAUUUUAUCAAUGGUAGGAGAGCGUUCUUAACCGCGAUGAAGGUAUACCGUGAGGAGUGCUGGAGCGUUAAGAAGUGAGAAUGCCGGUAUGAGUAGCGCAAGAUAAGUGAGAAUCUUAUCCACCGUAAGACUAAGGUUUCCAGGGGAAGGCUCGUCCGCCCUGGGUUAGUCGGGACCUAAGGCGAGGCCGAAAGGCGUAGUCGAUGGACAACUGGUUGAUAUUCCAGUACUAGAUAUGAUCGUGAUGGAGGGACGCAGUAGGCUAAGAGAUGCCAGUUAAUGGAUUCUGGUCUAAGCAGUGAGGUGUGAGAUGUGUCAAAUGCAUUUCUCUUUAACAUUGAGCUGUGAUGGGGAAGCAACUACGGUUGCGAACUCUCUGAUGUCACACUGCCAAGAAAAGCUUCUAGCGUAAAGUCAUAUCUACCCGUACCGCAAACCGACACAGGUAGUCGAGGCGAGUAGCCUCAGGUGAUCGAGAGAACUCUCGUUAAGGAACUCGGCAAAAUAGCCCCGUAACUUCGGGAGAAGGGGUGCUGGUGUAAAAGCCAGCCGCAGUGAAUAGGCCCAAGCAACUGUUUAUCAAAAACACAGCUCUCUGCUAAACCGCAAGGUGAUGUAUAGGGGGUGACGCCUGCCCGGUGCUGGAAGGUUAAGAGGAGUGCUUAGACGUAAGUCGAAGGUAUGAAUUGAAGCCCCAGUAAACGGCGGCCGUAACUAUAACGGUCCUAAGGUAGCGAAAUUCCUUGUCGGGUAAGUUCCGACCCGCACGAAAGGCGUAAUGAUUUGGGCACUGUCUCAACGAGAGACUCGGUGAAAUUUUAGUACCUGUGAAGAUGCAGGUUACCCGCGACAGGACGGAAAGACCCCAUGGAGCUUUACUGUAGUUUGAUAUUGAGUACCUGUAAGUCAUGUACAGGAUAGGUAGGAGCCAUUGAAAUAGGGACGCUAGUUUCUAUUGAGGCGUUGUUGGGAUACUACCCUUGACUUAUGGUUACUCUAACCCGCUGGCAUAAUCGGCCAGGGAGACAGUGUCUGACGGACAGUUUGACUGGGGCGGUCGCCUCCUAAAGAGUAACGGAGGCGCUCAAAGGUUGGCUCAGAUUGGUUGGAAAUCAAUCGUAGAGUGUAAAGGUAAAAGCCAGCUUGACUGCGAGAGCUACAACUCGAGCAGGUAGGAAACUAGGACUUAGUGAUCCGGUGGUACCGCAUGGAAGGGCCAUCGCUCAACGGAUAAAAGCUACCCUGGGGAUAACAGGCUUAUCUCCCCCAAGAGUUCACAUCGACGGGGAGGUUUGGCACCUCGAUGUCGGCUCGUCGCAUCCUGGGGCUGUAGUCGGUCCCAAGGGUUGGGCUGUUCGCCCAUUAAAGCGGCACGCGAGCUGGGUUCAGAACGUCGUGAGACAGUUCGGUCCCUAUCCGUCGCGGGCGU
rnacentral:rRNA from 1 species